rnacentral:rRNA from 1 species
CGAGAGGAUUCAGUCUGGGGGCGGUGGAUGCGGUGGUCGGAAGUUCGUAGGGCUUCCCCGAGCGGGGGCCGUCCGGCCGCGCGUCUUCUGCCGUCUCCGACGCAUUUGUCUCUCGUCCGAAGGACGCCGCAGCCGGUUGGGCAGCGAAAGCGUGACGGCCUGAAGGCGGGGUAAUGGCAGGUGGCCGGUGGCGAGCCCUGUGCUCUUCGCCGGUUGUUAGCCGUCUCCGCAGUGGCACGUCGCUCGACCGAGGUAUCACGAGGCCCUCAUGGGCUCCUGUCGUCUCCUCCAAUGCAGUCGGGACAGAACGUCGCUGGUGGAAUACGCCGCUCCGCCGCACGCACACAGCGUGGGCGGUCGAACGUGCGGCACCGCAUGCGACGGCGGGUCCGUCGGAGGCCGACGGCUGGCGGCGAGUAGGUCGGUCACCCACCCGACCCGUCUUGAAACACGGACCAAGGAGUCUAACAUGUGCGCGAGUCAAUGAGUCUUGAAUAGGCUCAGGGGCGCAAUGAAAGCAAAGUCCGACGCCACGUCG